CGGCCUAUCAGCUUGUUGGUGAGGUAAUGGCUCACCAAGGCGACGACGGGUAGCCGGCCUGAGAGGGUGACCGGCCACACUGGGACUGAGACACGGCCCAGACUCCUACGGGAGGCAGCAGUGGGGAAUAUUGCACAAUGGGCGCAAGCCUGAUGCAGCGACGCCGCGUGAGGGAUGACGGCCUUCGGGUUGUAAACCUCUUUCAGUAGGGAAGAAGCGAAAGUGACGGUACCUGCAGAAGAAGCGCCGGCUAACUACGUGCCAGCAGCCGCGGUAAUACGUAGGGCGCAAGCGUUAUCCGGAAUUAUUGGGCGUAAAGAGCUCGUAGGCGGUUUGUCGCGUCUGCCGUGAAAGUCCGGGGCUCAACUCCGGAUCUGCGGUGGGUACGGGCAGACUAGAGUGAUGUAGGGGAGACUGGAAUUCCUGGUGUAGCGGUGAAAUGCGCAGAUAUCAGGAGGAACACCGAUGGCGAAGGCAGGUCUCUGGGCAUUAACUGACGCUGAGGAGCGAAAGCAUGGGGAGCGAACAGGAUUAGAUACCCUGGUAGUCCAUGCCGUAAACGUUGGGCACUAGGUGUGGGGGACAUUCCACGUUUUCCGCGCCGUAGCUAACGCAUUAAGUGCCCCGCCUGGGGAGUACGGCCGCAAGGCUAAAACUCAAAGGAAUUGACGGGGGCCCGCACAAGCGGCGGAGCAUGCGGAUUAAUUCGAUGCAACGCGAAGAACCUUACCAAGGCUUGACAUGAACCGGAAAGACCUGGAAACAGGUGCCCCGCUUGCGGUCGGUUUACAGGUGGUGCAUGGUUGUCGUCAGCUCGUGUCGUGAGAUGUUGGGUUAAGUCCCGCAACGAGCGCAACCCUCGUUCUAUGUUGCCAGCACGUGAUGGUGGGGACUCAUAGGAGACUGCCGGGGUCAACUCGGAGGAAGGUGGGGACGACGUCAAAUCAUCAUGCCCCUUAUGUCUUGGGCUUCACGCAUGCUACAAUGGCCGGUACAAAGGGUUGCGAUACUGUGAGGUGGAGCUAAUCCCAAAAAGCCGGUCUCAGUUCGGAUUGGGGUCUGCAACUCGACC
rnacentral:rRNA from 1 species